CGCGCAGGCGGUCGUUCAAGUCGCGUGUGAAAGCCCCCGGCUCAACUGGGGAGGGUCACGCGAUACUGGUCGACUCGAAGGCAGGAGAGGGUAGUGGAAUUCCCGGUGUAGUGGUGAAAUGCGUAGAUAUCGGGAGGAACACCAGUGGCGAAGGCGACUACCUGGCCUGUUUCUUGACGCUGAGGCGCGAAAGCUAGGAGAGCAAAC
rnacentral:rRNA from 1 species